GCGGACGGGUGAGUAACACGUGGGUAACCUACCUAUAAGACUGGAAUAACUCCGGGAAACCGGGGCUAAUGCCGGAUAACAUAUCGAACCGCAUGGUUCGAUAGUGAAAGACGGUCUUGCUGUCACUUAUAGAUGGACCCGCGCCGUAUUAGCUAGUUGGUGAGGUAACGGCUCACCAAGGCGACGAUACGUAGCCGACCUGAGAGGGUGAUCGGCCACACUGGAACUGAGACACGGUCCAGACUCCUACGGGAGGCAGCAGUAGGGAAUCUUCCGCAAUGGGCGAAAGCCUGACGGAGCAACGCCGCGUGAGUGAUGAAGGUCUUCGGAUCGUAAAGCUCUGUUGUUAGGGAAGAACAAAUGUGUAAGUAACUGUGCACAUCUUGACGGUACCUAACCAGAAAGCCACGGCUAACUACGUGCCAGCAGCCGCGGUAAUACGUAGGUGGCAAGCGUUAUCCGGAAUUAUUGGGCGUAAAGCGCGCGUAGGCGGUUUUUUAAGUCUGAUGUGAAAGCCCACGGCUCAACCGUGGAGGGUCAUUGGAAACUGGAAAACUUGAGUGCAGAAGAGGAAAGUGGAAUUCCAUGUGUAGCGGUGAAAUGCGCAGAGAUAUGGAGGAACACCAGUGGCGAAGGCGGCUUUCUGGUCUGUAACUGACGCUGAUGUGCGAAAGCGUGGGGAUCAAACAGGAUUAGAUACCCUGGUAGUCCACGCCGUAAACGAUGAGUGCUAAGUGUUAGGGGGUUUCCGCCCCUUAGUGCUGCAGCUAACGCAUUAAGCACUCCGCCUGGGGAGUACGGUCGCAAGACUGAAACUCAAAGGAAUUGACGGGGACCCGCACAAGCGGUGGAGCAUGUGGUUUAAUUCGAAGCAACGCGAAGAACCUUACCAAAUCUUGACAUCUUUUGACCACUCUAGAGAUAGAGUUUUCCUCUUCGGAGGACAAAAUGACAGGUGGUGCAUGGUUGUCGUC
rnacentral:rRNA from 1 species